rnacentral:misc_RNA from 1 species
GGAAGUGGUCGAAGAAGUGCUUCUUGAUGGGCUCGCAGAUGGUCGCCGACGCGCACACCGGCGACACAUAGUGGGUCUUGCCGGCGACGGCGACGAAGGUGCGCUCCGACAGCUGCAUGACCCUCGACGGCUCCUGCCCCGGGCACGCCGCGUUGUUAUGCGCCGCGCUGUGGAGUUGCGCCACGCAGUCGGCCCCGCGGAGGUCGGCG